rnacentral:rRNA from 1 species
AGUCGAGGGGCAGCAUGGUCUUAGCUUGCUAAGGCCGAUGGCGACCGGCGCACGGGUGAGUAACACGUAUCCAACCUGCCGUCUACUCUUGGACAGCCUUCUGAAAGGAAGAUUAAUACAAGAUGGCAUCAUGAGUCCGCAUGUUCACAUGAUUAAAGGUAUUCCGGUAGACGAUGGGGAUGCGUUCCAUUAGAUAGUAGGCGGGGUAACGGCCCACCUAGUCUUCGAUGGAUAGGGGUUCUGAGAGGAAGGUCCCCCACAUUGGAACUGAGACACGGUCCAAACUCCUACGGGAGGCAGCAGUGAGGAAUAUUGGUCAAUGGGCGAGAGCCUGAACCAGCCAAGUAGCGUGAAGGAUGACUGCCCUAUGGGUUGUAAACUUCUUUUAUAAAGGAAUAAAGUCGGGUAUGGAUACCCGUUUGCAUGUACUUUAUGAAUAAGGAUCGGCUAACUCCGUGCCAGCAGCCGCGGUAAUACGGAGGAUCCGAGCGUUAUCCGGAUUUAUUGGGUUUAAAGGGAGCGUAGAUGGAUGUUUAAGUCAGUUGUGAAAGUUUGCGGCUCAACCGUAAAAUUGCAGUUGAUACUGGAUAUCUUG